GAGACACGGUCCAGACUCCUACGGGAGGCAGCAGUGGGGAAUAUUGCACAAUGGGGGAAACCCUGAUGCAGCGACGCCGCGUGAACGAAGAAGGUAUUCGUAUCGUAAAGUUCUGUCCUAUGGGAAGAUAAUGACAGUACCAUAGAAGAAAGCUCCGGCUAAAUACGUGCCAGCAGCCGCGGUAAUACGUAUGGAGCGAGCGUUGUCCGGAAUUAUUGGGCGUAAAGGGUACGCAGGCGGUUUAAUAAGUCGAAUGUUAAAGAUCGGGGCUCAACCCCGUAAAGCAUUGGAAACUGAUAAACUUGAGUAGUGGAGAGGAAAGUGGAAUUCCUAGUGUAGUGGUGAAAUACGUAGAUAUUAGGAGGAAUACCAGUAGCGAAGGCGCCUUUCUGGACACAAACUGACGCUGAGGUACGAAAGCGUGGGGAGCAAACAGGAUUAGAUCCCCUGGUAGUCCACGCCGUAAACGAUGAAUGCUAGGUGUUGGGGGUCAAACCUCGGUGCCGAAGUUAACACAUUAAGCAUUCCGCCUGGGGAGUACGCACGCAAGUGUGAAACUCAAAGGAAUUGACGGGGACCCGCACAAGCAGCGGAGCAUGUGGUUUAAUUCGAUGCAACGCGAAGAACCUUACCAGGGCUUGACAUGUGGGUGAAAGGUAUAGAGAUAUACCCCUCUCUUUAUGAGACAUCCAUACAGGUGGUGCAUGGUUGUCGUCAGCUCGUGUCGUGAGAUGUUGGGUUAAGUCCCGCAACGAGCGCAACCCCUAUACUUAGUUACCAGCGAAUAAAGUCGGGGACUCUAAGUAGACUGCCGAUGACAAAUCGGAGGAAGGUGGGGAUGACGUCAAAUCAUCAUGCCCUUUAUGUCCUGGGCUACACACGUGCUACAAUGGUUGGUACAGAGGGAAGCUAUAUAGUGAUAUAAUGCAAAACUCCAAAGCCAAUCCCAGUUCGGAUUGUAGGCUGCAACUCGCCUACAUGAAGUCGGAGUUGCUAGUAAUCGCGGAUCAGAAUGUCGCGGUGAAUGCGUUCCCGGGUCUUGUACACACCGCCCGUCACACCAUGGGAGUUGAUAAUACCCGAAGCCUGUGACCUAAUUGAGGAGCAGUCGAAGGUAGGAUUGAUGACUGGGGUGAAGUCGUAACAAGGUAGCCGUAU
rnacentral:rRNA from 1 species